UCUUCUUUGAUGAUUUGCACAUUGACUUUCGUUCUUCUGAGUCAACUGAAGCCAGCAUUUGUGUUCUGAGAAGA